GAAUAAAACCCAGUCCAAUUUGAGAAGAGAAAGUGGCACUGCGGAUAUGGAUUUGCUGAUCCCCAAUAUGCGCGCUUUUCCAAUCUCAUCAGGAACGCCCCACACUCUCUUCUUCCGCGAUGGGGGUACCUCCCCCGGCGCUACCGCCGCCGCGAAUAGAAUCAGAAGUCCUAGCUCCACUAGCUCCUCCCAUGCCUUGGUAGGUGCUGCCGCUGCUGCUGCCGCCUCUCCGAAGCUCUUUUCCUACAAAUUUGGGUACUCUAAUGAGGAUUCCUCCUCCUUCGGCGGCGAUGCUGAUGGUGAUGAAGAGAUUGAGGUAGAGAAGCUUGAGAACAAUGGCGUGGAAGAGGUUGAGAUAGAGAAGCUCGGAAACAACUCUCGGAGGAUUCGAUCCAAAAUUGUUAUUGAUGCUAACCUCCACACUGUUUGGAGCAUUUUGACUGAUUAUGAGGGAUUGGCCGAUUUUAUUCCGGGCCUCGCAGUCAGCCAGUUGAUUGAAAAAGGAGAGAAAUUCGCUCGACUUUUUCAGAUUGGACAGCAAGAUUUGGCAUUUGGACUGAAAUUUAAUGCCAAAGGAAUUGUAGAUUGCUAUGAGAAAGAUCUUGAGAGUCUCCCUUCCGGUGAAAAGCGUGAUAUUGAAUUUAAGAUGAUUGAAGGUGACUUUCAAAUUUUUGAAGGAAAAUGGUCUAUUGAGCAGUAGGUAGACUGAUUAGAACAAUGACGAGUGAUUGAUGACUAAAUGGCCAGCAAAAAGAAAAUUCAUUGUAAACUUAAGCUAGCAUUACUAUUCAAUCCUUGCAAUGGCUGUUUCUACAAUUCGGUUGAGAUUCUGUCGGUUCAGAUAGAUAACACUAGUGUUAGAUAUGUGGAUAUGGUGAGUUGCUCAGUUUUGUGUAUGUUUGCACCAACUUGAGAGAGGGGAGGAAAAGUAUCUUUUUGUGGUAUUCUUGGCAUUUCUUGUGCUGUAUUUGUAAUUUAAAAAUUCAGGGCUGGAGAGUGUACAAUACUUCUUUCUUCUUCCGUUCUCUUCUUCUUCUUUGGUUAAGGGUCUCGGUUUUAUAAAAUAUUGAAUCAGUAUAAUUAUUACGGCAAUUGCAUCUACGACGUGGCUUGCAUUCAA